rnacentral:rRNA from 1 species
AUGAGCGGAAGAGCUGCAGCGCCGUCCUCCUGGACGACGUCUGGUCCGCCAUCCUCUGCCGCCGCCGGUGCGCCGGCGCCAACGUGCCGCUGCGCAGCCUCCGCGUCGCCUUCGACAGCUGCAGCGGGUGGGACCGCUGCCACGUCGACCAGUGGCUCUCCUGCGUGCUGCGCCACAGCAGCCAGGAGCUGCACCUCGACCUCACCUUCCGCCUCGGCCCGAUCUGCCCGCACGCCAAUGAGGACGAUAGGUUCGGGCGCGGCAGAGUGGGCGGCUGGUAUGACCUGCCGAGAAACCUCGUCUCCUGCACCGCCAUGCGCUCGCUGUGCCUCGCCUACUGCACGCUGA